AGAAUGAAACUCCAUCUCUGACACAAAGUUCACGGCCAAAGAGAGGAAGACGUUCCAAACUACUACCUGAUGAAUGGAUGAAAAAUUGGGAAGUUGAAAGAUUUGAUAAGGAGGUUGAGAGAUACGAGAAUGAAGGAAUUCGUAUUCGACGUCAAAAAGUAAAGACACAAGACAAAGAAGAAAGCAACCGCAAAACCAAAGAAGAAACAAAAGAAUUUAUUGUAGCUCAA